rnacentral:rRNA from 1 species
AUUACCGAGUUAGGGUCUUCUAGGCCCGACCUCCAACCCUUUGUUUAUUAUACCACGUUGCUUUGGUAGGCCCGCCUUUCGGGGCCGCUGGGGACUUUUAUGCCUCUAGUCAGUGCCUGCCAGUAGCCUUCUUAAAUCCUUUUUAUAACUAUGUCGUCUGAGUAUAAUUAUAAAUCGUUAAAACUUUCAACAACGGAUCUCUUGGUUCUGGCAUCGAUGAAGAACGCAGCGAAAUGCGAUAAGUAAUGCGAAUUGCAGAAUUCAGUGAGUCAUCGAAUCUUUGAACGCAUAUUGCGCCCUUUGGCAUUCCGAAGGGCAUGUCUGUUCGAGCGUCAUUAUCAACCAUCAAGCCUGGCUUGUCGUUGGACCUCUUUUUUUGCGGCUGAAAUAUGCUGCAGGUCCGAAAGAUAAUGACGGUGUCGUGUUUGACCCUAGAUGCAACGAGCUUUUUAUAGCACGCAUUGAAGUGGUCGGCCGACCCGGUCUUAAACCCCCAUUAUUUUCUAAGGUUGACCUCGGAUCAGAUAGGAAUACCCGCUGAACUUAAGCAUAUCAAUAAGCGGAGGAAAAGAAACCAACAGGGAUUACCCUAGUAACGGCGAGUGAAGCGGUAACAGCUCAAAUUUGAAAUCUGACCUUCACGGGUUCGAGUUGUAAUUUGUAGAGGGUAUUUCGGAUAGGGCUUUGGUUUAAGUUUCUUG